UACGUAGGGGGCCCAGCGUUGUCCGGAUUUAUUGGGCGUAAAGAGCGCGUAGGCGGCCGGAUAAGUCCGACGUGAAAUCUCGAGGCUCAACCUCGAGCGGUCGUUGGAAACUAUUCGGCUAGAGUCCGGAAGAGGAGAGUGGAAUUCCCGGUGUAGCGGUGAAAUGCGCAGAUAUCGGGAAGAACACCUAUGGCGAAGGCAGCUCUCUGGGACGGUACUGACGCUGAGGCGCGAAAGCGUGGGGAGCGAACAGGAUUAGAUACCCCUGUAGU
rnacentral:rRNA from 1 species